AUAGUUUUUUAUCCCAUAGUUGCUUUGCUCGCAGUUUUUGCGGGCAGACAGCAAAGCAGUCUUGCUAAAGCAUCUCCUUUCUGAAGGUCAAAAUGCCCUGGGGACUCCCUGAAAUCUCUCUGAGCUGGGUAAUCAAGAGAAAACUCAUCAUGAGACUGCACUGAGAGGAUGGCCUUUCUCCUGGCUAUGUCCCACUGGACAUCUUCAAGGAACUGAAUGCUCAGAAAACUAUCAGAACCACAACAAAAGCUAAGUGAUUUCAAUUUUCUUGGGGUCUAGCUUUCCCAUAUUUGCAAUCUGCAUGAAUAAUUGAGCCAGUAUAAGAAGCAGGGCAGGGACUUGCACUUUUGGCAGCUGCUCAACUCUACUUGGCUCAACCCUGAUGAGAAGCAGAAGUCACAUUUGCUAGUAGGCUCUGGCUGCCAUUUAAUAUCUGUUGGUAUGUUAGGGAUCUGACUCAUGUUUGCUUGACAAGCAGCUAAAAUGGGUUAAAGUAUGUUACUCCCUCAGGCACACAUCAGCUCUUUUGCAGCUGGGGUCAGGACGCCACGGUUUUGCUGGCAUGCUGCAGGCACAGUAUGCUCUGCUCCUGGACAACAACAAAAGUGGGGAGGAGUGAAGGCCUAGAGGGGAAGCACCUCCAGGUGUCACAGACAGAUUUGCAAAAGCUUAUCUCCCAAAACCCACUGUGGGGUCAGGGACUUGGCAUGUCACCAAGCGGGGCAGCGAUGUGGGGCAAGUGGCCCAGGCUGGAAGCACCAGGCUUGCUGUCAGCAGCUGCCUCAUGGCAGCUCCAACAGCACUGCAAGGACCCUGCACUGGCUUUGAGGGCUGCUUAACUUCUGUAUCUCAUUUUGCCCAGCAGUGUAAUGUGAAUGGAUAAGUGCACUGGGUCCCUUUCCAGCUUACAGUUCAAGAGUAGUCUUUUUUCUUUGACUAUCUCUUCUAUCUUCCUAUCUCCUCCUCAGCAGCCACUUCUCCAAGAAGUAAUAACUCAGAUCCUUUAGUUCCUUAUCCUAGCCAAAUGCUUUGAUCAAUUUAGUAUCUCUCUAAACAUUUUCCAACAUGUUUCUAGUCUUUCCACCUUGAAUGAGCCUCACAGAAAAAUGUAAACCAUUUUUUGCUUUCAGCAGAUUAUUUCUUGUUCUUCAGCUCUUCUGUGGUUUUCUUUUCCUUCUUUACUUUUUUUUCCUUUUAAAAAUACUUACACCAUUUUACAUAAAAACUAGACUGACAUUUUAUUUCUGGCACAGGACGCAACCAAAUCCCCACUGCAGUUUCUGUUGGGUUUAGAGCAACAAUCUCUGUUUGAAAACUUAUAAUGCUCCUUACUCUGGAUAACUGCUAAUACACUCUCCCUCAGUGCUUCUCUUGUCACUUGUAGAUGACCACAACUGUGAGACUAUUUUGCCUACCUGAGCUCCUAGAGCAGCACUAUGAGUCUGGAAAGAAAAUUGAUGUUGUUGUGACUGCUGGUCAGUAUCUGCUACUGCCUCUGUCCACUUGUAAUUUGGACUCCAGCAGCCAUCAUGCUGGUUGUUAUUAAUGCUCCACUCUGUUUUCAGGCCUGGUUCUGUUGCAAAACACAUACAAGGAGAAAUAUGCAAGGAACAUUUAGCUCUGUUAAAAUAGACCUGCUGUUUUACUGCUACAUUUCUUUUUCUUCUCUACUGGUUUCCCUCUCCUUCAUCCUCUUAAUGUAGCAUAUUUGUGGGUGCAUAUAGUAGUUCAUUGCAAAAUAUACUGGAUUUAAAGCAAAACAGAGAAAAACUCCCUGAACUGAAAUUGCUUCUUUAAAGCUGCCGCAUUAAGUUUGGCCAUGAUCCACCCUGGAGACUUUCCCUGGCAGAGACUGUGAUGCACACAUCUCAGUUUGGAAUUGCUCUUUCGGACACAGAUUCCCGCAAGAAUAGCAGGAACAUGACAGGCCAAGUCAUGCUAGGCAGCAAAGCCCACUGCAGUCCAGUAAAGACAGUCUGUCCAUUCACCUCUUAUGGACUUUUCCGGGGCUGUCUGCGUGUAAGGGGGCGGGGAAGGGAAAGGGACAAGAGGACAGAAAUGUAGUUGGGGUUUUAAAUUGUUCUGUUUCUGAAGGAUUCAAGUAAUAAUUGUGAAACUGUUCAAGCUUCCAUUAUGGAAAAUUAUUAUCUUUCACAUGUUCUUUAUGCUGUGCUUCACUAAAAACUUGUUUCAUUGUUGGACUGUGUUGAACUCUUACUGGAAAAAUUCCUGCUUUUCUUUUUCUGGCCUGAUCCAGCUGACUUCUAAGCUAAAAGAGAUUUGCUAGAUUUAGAAGUACUGCCAACCCUUGGGUGCUCUGCCAGCCACGUGCAUUUUGAGGAAUCAUUUGAGAUGCCAGAUAAUAACUAGUGCAGGUGGAGUGGUCCCAGGGGCUUCCCAGAGAGGAGCUGCUGGCACAGGACAAGCUGUUGCUGAAGGAAAAAAAAACCCGAAACAACCAUGAAAUCUGAAAGACCAGUAUCCUGGUUUCUGUGAAAACGGAAAUAAAACCCCAUCACUCUGCCAAAUCGAUGUUUUCAAAAGCCUUUGCCAGACUAAUACUCCAGUAUGAAGCAGUAUGAGCUCUCUGUAUCCUCCCACUGCCACCCCAGGGAGAGAGCCCAGGGAAGCACAGGCUCAAGGACCUCUGGAUCUUGCUCACAGUCCUCUAAGGCACCAUUUCCUGCUGUCUCUUUGGCUGCAGACAUCUGCCUGCAUUUGGACAUUGGGAACACGAAUUAAAACCUGCUGUGAUGAAGGACCACAUCUUCAUCCAUGCUUUUGUCUUCUGUCCAGCUCCUAGCGCCCAAAGCUCAAAGUGGAGGGUGGCACAAAAGGCACUAAUGCACAUAUCUGCAGACUGGUCACCUGCAUUAUUGAGGAACAAUGAAUUUCCCCAGUUGGUCUGGAAAGGGAACUUCACUCCAGUGGCACUGCUGACUAGGUGAAAAGGGAAAAAGGCAAUAUUUGGUCCAGGAAUCUCAGUUCUGCACAAUUUCUCUGCAAUCACAAUGAGGAAGACUCACGAAGGCGGAUGAGCAUCCACCCAUUGAGGGCCAUCUCCUCACUGCAGUCAAACCUGCACGACUCCUAGGAAAUGUGAACCCUUAUUAAACAAGACGGGCAGGAAAGUCUAAUAUAAGUCUAACCAGCAAUUUUGCAAGUUGGAUUUUGUACUUCAGGUAGAUCAACAGCAACAGAUAAGAGUUCUUGUAUUUUAUGUAUCUAAUUUCAGCCUUUGACUAGGUUAUGUUGUGCGCCCAAUCCCUUUCUUGACACUUGACACAGCAGCUGCCAAAGCUGGUUUCUGGACAGGCCUGUCUUGGGAACAGUGUGUGCUGUGAUUUGGAUAAAGGGUGCUCAGUCUGGAUGUGUGUCUCUGCUUGCCCCUUCCAUUGCAACUUUGUUGUGGUAACUGUUAUGAAAGCCAAGCCAGCUGCUUCCUAGUUUUACACAAAACACAUUAAUUGGGACCUCUAGCUUUGCUGUAACAACCAACUCC